CGCGUUACCCCAGUGCCUGUGUUCAAGUCACCCCUAUUUUACUUCAUAAUGGCCCCAAAGCAUGGGAGUAAUGAUGCUGGUCAAUCAGAUAUGCCAUAGAGAAGCAAUAUAUUGCUUCCUUUAAGUGAAAAGCUGAAAGUUCUCCACCCAAUAAGGAAAGAGAAAAGAUCGUAUCCUGAGGUUGCUAAGAUCUAUGGUCAGAACAAAUCUACCCAUGAUAUUGUGAAGAAGGAAAAAGAAAUUCAUGCGCCAUGCUGCUCAGGAGACCAGGCCCCAUGUGUUCACGUGGGAGUUGAGGGUUCAUCCCGAGUUACUCCCUGAGUCUUCAGGCCACGAUGACCAAGGGCUUGUGACUUCUGCAAGCGACGUGACUGGAAACCACGCAGCACUUCACAGGGAUCCUAGUGUGUUCUCUGCUGGUGAUUCCCCAGGGGAGGCUCCUUCUGCGCUGUUGCCAGGGCCACCCCCUGGUCAGCCUGAAGCCACUCAGCUGACAGGGCCAAAACGGGCUGGCCAGGCAGCUCUGUCAGAACGAAGCCCUGUGGCUGAUCGGAAGCAGCCUGUUCCUCCAGGACGUGCUGCGCGUUCAAGCCAGUCUCCAAAAAAGCCGUUCAAUAGUAUUAUUGAGCACCUGUCAGUGGUAUUCCCAUGUUACAACAGCACUGAGCUUGCUGGUUUUAUUAAAAAAGUGCGAAGCAAAAACAAGAACUCACUCUCAGGAUUGAGUAUUGAUGAAAUUGUCCAAAGAGUGACAGAACACAUUCUAGAUGAACAGAAAAAGAAAAAGCCAAACCCAGGAAAGGACAAGAGGACUUAUGAGCCCAGCUCUGCCGCCCCCGUGACCAGGUCCUCC
rnacentral:sRNA from 1 species